CCUUCUGCUUCGCGUAAAUGCACCUUUACUAUUUCCCUCGUUUAAAGCGAAUGAAAUAUCUUCUGACUGGGUGUAUUUUGUAUGUAUGUAUAAAUGAGUGAAUGUGUGUAUAUAUUCAAAUUUGUACGUGUGUGUGUGAAUUAAUAAGCACAUAAAACGUGUUUUACGUGUAUAAAUGCGUGUGUCCGUAUUCGUGUAAAUAAUUUAGCGUAUAAAAUGUGUGUUGCAUGUAUAAGUAUGUAUUUAUGUUUGUAUAAAUGAAUGAAUAUAUAAAAUGUGUCUUUGCGUCUAUGAAUUGUGUAUAUGCCGCGUAAAUGAAUGAGCGUAUAAAAUGAUUUAAUGUAUACAAAUACGUGUGUAUUUAUUCAUGUGUAAUAUAAUGCCAAAUGAGUGUGUAGAGUCUGUAUCUCACGCGUGCGUGUUUGUAAGAUGACCUUUUGGUUUAGUUCCCACGAAAUUUCAUUCGAUUCAUUUUUAUAACAACACGAACUGGUCUUUUAACGAAUCAUAAAAAAGAUCGGUUUCAGAUUCGUUUCCUUUUUCUUUUUUUUUUUUCAUGUGCGUUCCUUUCUUUUUACAUAUUAUUCUUUUUUAAUGUAUGGUUUCUCCUAUUUGCAUCAAAAUCGUCAAAGCACGCAUGGUUCGAAAUUCAAGAGCCAUCAAAUGUAUGCGAAAGCUUUCACGUGUAUCGACCAUCUAUUCGCACGUAAAUGAAUUUUAAUAUGCUAUGAUAAUUAGCGUUCUUAAGCUUGCAAACGCUCUCACCACUGAUAACAGCUUUUCUAUUUUUCCUCUUUCUCCUUCUAUCUCUUUUUUCUUUUUUGUCAGUCUGCUUUUCUUUCUCUAUCUUUCUCUUUCUCUCUCCUCUUUCUCUUCGUCUGUGUGUGUAUGCGCACGCGUACGCUGCGAGUGUGAGUGGGUGGAUGUGUAAAUUUCAUGCAUCGCCAACAGGCCGGAAAUAGCGCUCGGAGAUCCAAUAUUAUCUUCGUUGUAUCUUUCAGAAGUGGAAAGCCGAAGCCGUGAUUUUAACUCUGUACGUGUCAUACGAGUCUCUUGGAAUAUCGCAUGGCAUCCAUUUUCUUUUCUUAAAGCUGUUUGAGUCGAGCUUGUAUCUCGAGGGAAAAGGAACUCAGCUGAGUACUUUUCCGUUACUUUU